GGGGUUGAGGCUUUUCAAUUAGUUCUU
rnacentral:misc_RNA from 1 species